rnacentral:piRNA from 1 species
CGUAAAACAGACUGCUGAGAAGGAUC